rnacentral:rRNA from 1 species
AGUGAACGCUGGCGGUAGGCCUAACACAUGCAAGUCGAACGGCAGCACAGUAAGAGCUUGCUCUUACGGGUGGCGAGUGGCGGACGGGUGAGGAAUACAUCGGCAUCUACUUUUUCGUGGGGGAUAACGUAGGGAAACUUACGCUAAUACCGCAUACGACCUACGGGUGAAAGCAGGGGAUCUUCGGACCUUGCGCGAUUGAAUGAGCCGAUGGCGGAUUAGCUAGUUGGCGGGGUAAAGGCCCACCGAGGCGACGAUCCGUAGCUGGUCUGAGAGGAUGAUCAGCCACACUGGAACUGAGACACGGUCCAGACUCCUACGGGAGGCAGCAGUGGGGAAUUUUGGACAAUGGGCGCAAGCCUGAUCCAGCCAUACCGCGUGGGUGAAGAAGGCCUUCGGGUUGUAAAGCCCUUUUGUUGGGAAAGAAAAGCAGCAGGUUAAUACCCCGCUGUGCUGACGGUACCCAAAGAAUAAGCACCGGCUAACUUCGUG